UAGUCCACGCCGUAAACGAUGGAUACUAGCUGUUCGGACUUCGGUCUGAGUGGCUAAGCGAAAGUGAUAAGUAUCCCACCUGGGGAGUACGUUCGCAAGAAUGAAACUCAAAGGAAUUGACGGGGGCCCGCACAAGCGGUGGAGCAUGUGGUUUAAUUCGAUGAUACGCGAGGAACCUUACCAGGGCUUAAAUGCAUAUUGACAGGGGUGGAAACACCUUUUCCUUCGGGCAAUUUGCAAGGUGCUGCAUGGUUGUCGUCAGCUCGUGCCGUGAGGCGUCAGGUUAAGUCCUAUAACGAGCGCAACCCCUGUUGUUAGUUGCCAGCGAGUCAUGUCGGGAACUCUAACAAGACUGCCAGUGCAAACUGUGAGGAAGGUGGGGAUGACGUCAAAUCAUCACGGCCCUUACGUCCUGGGCCACACACAUGCUACAAUGGUAGGUACAGAGAGCAGCCACUGCGUGAGCAGGAGCGAAUCUAUAAAACCUAUCUCAGUUCGG
rnacentral:rRNA from 1 species